AAUGAGGGGAACUCAGGGAACUGAAACAUCUAAGUACCUGAAGGAAGAGAAAGAAAUUCGAUUCCGUAAGUAGCGGCGAGCGAACGCGGAUUAGCCCAAACCAAUAAAGUUUUCUUUAUUGGGGUUGAGGACAUACCACAUAUAAGAGGUCAUUAUAGACGAAGAAGUUUGGAAAAACUCAUCAUAGAAGGUAAUAAUCCUGUAGUCAAAAUAAUAAUUCUUUAGAUAUGAUCCAGAGUACCACGGGACACGUGAAACCCUGUGGGAAGCAGGAGGGACCACCCUCCAAGGCUAAAUACUACCUAGUGACCGAUAGCGUAUAGUACCGUGAGGGAAAGGUGAAAAGAACCCCGGGAGGGGAGUGAAAUAGAACCUGAAACCCUGCACUUACAAGCUGUGGAAGCACAUUUCUUGUGUGACCGCGUACUUUUUGUAGAACGGGCCAACGAGUUACGUUAAGUAGCAAGGUUAAGCACUUAAGGUGCGGAGCCGUAGCGAAAGCGAGUUUUAACUGAGCGUUCAGUUACUUGACGUAGACCCGAAACCGGGCGACCUACCCAUGAGCAGGAUGAAGCGAAAGUAAAAUUUCGUGGAGGUCCGAACCCACGAGCGUUGAAAAGCUCGGGGAUGACUUGUGGGUAGCGGUGAAAUUCCAAUCGAGCCCGGAGAUAGCUGGUUCUCCCCGAAAUAGCUUUAGGGCUAGCCUCAAGGUGAGAGAUACGGAGGUAGAGCACUGAAUGUCCUAGGGGGUAUUGCACCUACCGAAGACUAUCAAACUCCGAAUGCC
rnacentral:rRNA from 1 species